AUAUCAGUCAUGCAUAGCAUAUCAAUAAGCGGAGGAAAAGAAACUAACAAGGAUUCCCUUAGUAACGGCGAGUGAAGCGGGAAGAGCUCAAAUUUGAAAUCUUCAAGGUUUUACCUUGACGAAUUGUAGUUUAAAGAAGUGUUUUCUGUUGAAGUUUUGGUAGAAGUUCUUUGGAAUAGGACAUCAUAGAGGGUGAGAAUCCCGUAUUUGACCAUUACUUUCAGCUUUGUGAUACACUUUCAAAGAGUCGGAUUGUUUGGGAAUGCAGUCCAAAAUGGGUGGUAAAUUUCAUCUAAAGCUAAAUAUUGGCGAGAGACCGAUAGCGAACAAGUACCGUGAGGGAAAGAUGAAAAGAACUUUGAAAAGAGAGUUAAACAGUACGUGAAAUUGUCAAAAGGGAAGCGUUUGACACCAGUGUUGUUUUCUCGAAAAUCAAUUAAAAAGAGUUGGAUUUUGUGUUGUAUUGACUUUAUCGGCUUUCUUCACUCUUUUCCAGCUUUUUUUAAUGCACUUUUCGUUUAACAAGUCAACAUCAGUUUCUUUUGUUGUAAAAAGGUCAUUGGAAGGUGGCUUUCUCUUCGGAGAAAGUGUUUAUAGCCUUUGACUCAUGCAAUCGGAGAGACUGAGGUCUGCAGCGUAGAUCCUUCGGGGUUAGAUACAUUUGUGCUAAGUUAUAGCUUUUCAUAGACAACUUGUUGACUAUGUUUAGUCUUGUAGCUUACUCGCUUAUGCUAUUUUACCUACGCUUAGGAUGUUGAACUCUAUCACACACAG
rnacentral:rRNA from 1 species